GGCUCUUUAGCUCAACCGGCAGAGCACCCGGUCGAAGCCCGGGGGGUUCGGGGUUCGAUUCCCUGGGGAGCCACCA
rnacentral:tRNA from 1 species